UGCAGAUCUGGCAGAGAGACCAGAGUCACCGCACGGCCUAGUCUGUCGUUUCUGAGACCCUUUUCAUGAGAUAUCCCCCCACAGUGAGGCUGCUCCAGAGGCCUGAGUGGUCACAUGCUCUGCAGGUAGGAACCAGGCCACAGGGACCCCCAGCACAGAAGGGGGGAGGAUUUCAACUUUUGCUGAGGCUAUUUCUAAUGUUAAAAUACACUGGGAGAGGUCAGGUAUGGAACACCCAGUUAAGUUCAGAUGUUACAGUGAUCAAGGACCCAAUUUUAAGCCCCCGGAUCCCACUGUCAAGGGGGGAGGCAGAUUUCAGGAAUGGUGGAGCAGAUCAGCAAGUGUCUCUUCCCCACCUGCCUCUGUUUCUAUCUACUAAGUUAUAAUACUGUGAAUAACAUUAUUUCUUCUGUCGUCACUAGGGCUUCGCAGAAACAGAAGGAAAACAUAGCUCCCCCCAGUGUGGGAGGCACGGGCUCCCAUCCUAAUUUUUGUGAAUGAUGAAAUAGCAGGCAUACUAUCCAGGCUUCCAGCAGAGGGCGAGGAGGGACUUACGAUCCCGUUCUGGACACUGAAGCCCAGCUGGUAGCGCAGGUCAGGCCUCCGGAUGAGCACAGUCGUGACUGGAGGACAGCGCACGAUGUUCAGCUUCACCCGGGACUGGUUCUUCAGGCCCUGGAAGAGGGGAAUACACACACACAGGGAUCACCAGCCGCCUGACUGGAUGAGCCCAGGAGAGAAAACUCACCGCCUGCUGACAUGUGGGGACGGACAGACUCCAGGGGGCUGUGCAUGGGAGCUGGGAAAGGUGCUUUUUUAAUUUUUUUUUUUAUUGUUACCAGGGGCUCAGUACCUGAAAAGGACUCCAUUCCUGGUGGCUACUUUUUCCUUUAUUUGACAGGACAGAAAUUAAGAAAGGAGGUUGCGAGACACCUGCAGUACUUGCCUCACGGCUACAGGUGGAGCAAGGGAGCUUGAAUCCACACCUUUCUGCAUGGUAGGUGACCUGUGUGCUUAACCAGGUGCGCCAUCAGGAAAAAUAUUUUAAUUUUAAGCCUGAUAGCUGAGGGCUGUGUGGGGGGAGGCAGACCUGUUCUCCAAAAGACAAGCUCUAGUGAUUUCUUUAUCAAGCUCUCAGGUCCACAGCAGCUCUGUAACCUUUCCUGGUUUGUCUCUCCUGUCUUUGUUUCCCGGGGAGACAGAGCCAGGACCCCAAUCCAUGAAGGUGGAAAAACAUGAGUGAGGGCCUGUUUGUGGCAUGAGCACCUGGGCAGCAAGGCCCUUGGACCCAGGAUGGGACUUGGCGCCCUCUGGUGUCUGAGCUUCCCUCACUGCAUAGGGUCUCUACUGAGCUCCGGGCCUGCCCUCUCUGCCCUGAAGCAUAUGUAGGGCAUAGACUAGGGUUCAAGCCCCUAGUCCCCACCUGCAGGGUGGGGGCAGGGGAGCUUCACAAGCAAUGACAAAGGAUUGCAGGUGUCUCUUCCUCCACUAAGUCUGUCUCUAGCCAAUAAAAAACAAACCUGAGCCACUUCUGCACUCA